CAGUUUCGAUAUAGGCUUACUCUGAAGACCAGUGGAACCAGAGGACUGUCACCAUGCCACCAGCUGCAUUUCUACUGUCAUCACAGUCAAGUGCUUUGACUCAUCCUCCACACUAAUGAAACUCAUAGGAGGAUUCACUUGAGUCAGUUCCUUAACUCUGGCUCACUGAGUUUCCCUGUUGAGUGUUUUGCUGCUUGGAAAAUGGGAGGAACAGCUAUCGAUGCAUCCCACUAAGAAAGUAGAGAGCAGAAGACAGAUGCAUAAGCAGAAAAUGGAUUGCCAACACUGUUGUCACAUUAAGCACGUGUGGUACAAAAGGAUCUAGCAGGAUGGAAAGUGAGAAAUGCAUCCUCAGGUCCAGGCGAGCCCCUUGCCACAUGCCAUUCUUCAUUUAAAGGGCAACCCUCUUCUGUUAAUCUCUCAGGGCAUUGCAGGCAAAUGGAACAAUGUGUAAAACAACAGCAGAGGCAUGAAACUGCAGAACUCAUUAAUUCAGAUGCAAUGUGGGGAUGUUCCACAGCAGCUUCACGUGGAUGUUGUGAGGGUGAAAAAGGAGGAAACACAUUUUAGAUACAUAAGGAUAGAAACUGAUGGGCAGUUGGUGGAGUGGCCAGCCUCUGCAAAGUGGCCUGAUCGGAUUCCUGAGCUUCUAGGUCAUCGGGCAGGACUGCGACUGGCCGGAGCCAAUGCUACUCCCUCCUGACCUUGAAAGGUG
rnacentral:lncRNA from 1 species